rnacentral:rRNA from 1 species
AAUCAACGCUGGCGGCGUGCCUAACACAUGCAAGUCGAACGAGAAAGUGGGGGCAACUCCAUGAGUACAGUGGCAGACGGGUGAGUAACACGUGAACAAUCUACCCUUGAGUGGGGAAUAACACCGCGAAAGCGGUGCUAAUACCGCAUAACAUCUCCGGGUCGCAUGGUCUGGGGAUCAAAAGCGAAAGUUGCUCGAGGAGGAGUUCGGGCCUGAUUAGCUAGUUGGGGAGGGAACGGCCCACCAAGGCAACGAUCAGUAGCCGGCCUGAGAGGGCGAACGGCCACACUGGAACUGAGACACGGUCCAGACUCCUACGGGAGGCAGCAGUGGGGAAUUUUGCGCAAUGGGCGAAAGCCUGACGCAGCAACGCCGCGUGGAGGAUGAAGGCCUUCGGGUCGUAAACUCCUGUCAGUGGGGACGAAUGCUUCGCAAGAAGUUUGACUGUACCCGCUGAGGAAGCCACGGCUAACUCCGUGCCAGC